rnacentral:rRNA from 1 species
GACGAACGCUGGCGGCGUGCCUAAUACAUGCAAGUCGAACGCAGUGGGGACGGGUGAGUAACACGUGGGUAACCUCCCAUCAGAGGGGAUAACACUUGGAAACAGGUGCUAAACCGAUACUGAUGGAUGGACCCGCGGUGCAUUAGCUAGUGGGUGAGGUAACGGCUCACCAAGGCCACGAUGCAUAGACGACCUGAGAGGGUGAUCGGCAACACUGGGACGGAGACACGGCCCAGAAGCCUAGGGGAGGCAGCAGUAGGGAAGAUUGGGAAAUGGACGAAAGUCGGACCGAGAAACGCGGCGGGAGUGAAGAAGGUUUUCGGAUCGUAAAACACUGUUGUUAGAGAAGCGGUAUCUAACCAGAAAGCCACGGCUAACUACGUGCCAGCCGCCGCGGUAAUUC